CAAUAGCCAAACUAUGGAGCGAGCCCAGAUGUCCGUCGACUGAUGACUGGAAAAAGAUGGGAGAUUAGUCAUCAAAAAGAAUGAAAUCUUGCCAUUUACAACCAUGUGGUUGGAGUCAAAGUGUAUGAUGCCAAACGAAAUAAGUGAGUCAGAGAAAGACAAAUACCAUAUGAUUUCACUCAUAUGUGCAAUUUAAGUAAGCAAAACCAUGAACAUGUGGAAAGGAGGGAGGGGAAGGAGAAAGGGAAACAAGCCAUAAAAGACAUCUUGAGGAUAGAGAGCAAACUGAGGGUUGCUGGAGGGAGGCGGGUGGGGAAUGGGCUAGAUGGGGCAUGGGUAUUGAGGAGGACACUUGCGAUGGGCACUGGGUGUUGUGUGUAAGUGAGGAAAUCACUAAAUGCUACUCCAGAAACCAAUAUUGCACUGUAUAACUAAAAUUUAAAUGAAAAGAAAAUUAAAGGAUUUUAAAGGCAGAGAGGGCAUUUAAAAAAGCAGAAAGGAAUUUAUUAGCAAGGAAUGCACCGUUUAGGCAAGGCCGCCCUCCGAAGGGGAGCGAAGGGGUCUAUAGUAACUGACCAGGAAAUCCCGUGUUGACUGGUCAAAGGUCACAUUCCUGGUACGUGAAACUGCAGUUACAUCCGGGAUUAAGUCUUGGUUUCCUGAUUUGGGGCUUUAACCUCAGUGAUGCCAUUCGGGGCCUGCGGUGAGCAAUCUAAUUGGCUUUAUGAAAUAAUUCAUGGAGUGGAAGCACCCUACCCAGAAAGUAGAGGGGAACUCUGGAGAGGCGGACAAAACCCGAGGCUUUCACAGGAGGGAGGGUGGGAUAAGUACGUUACCAGCAAAAGAAAAGAAAAGAUUGUCCCAGGCAAGGUCAUUUCCCUUAGGGGGAAAAGUAGAGGGUUUUAUCCUGCAGAUUGCGUUCUUUGUUUUGCAGUCCGGGAUGCAGAGGUCCAGGGCUGCGGGCAGACCACCUCACUGGUGGAGACUAGAAAAUUCCUGACUGACUGGUUAAAGCUUCUUGAGAAACAGCUGGUGCAGGAAGGAUAGUCUGACCCUCCUUGUCUCCCCGAAAACAGGAGUCCUUCCAGAUCAUUUUGAAGUUGCCCCCGUAGUAGGGUUCCUUCCACGUUCCGUUUUGAGCCUGCUCGUCCGUUCUGGGACUCGAAGACGAGACGCAGCGUCGCUUCCGCGGCGGUCGGCGGGGCGGGCUGGC